rnacentral:rRNA from 1 species
UACGAAGGGGGCUAGCGUUGCUCGGAAUUACUGGGCGUAAAGGGCGCGUAGGCGGGUGCUUAAGUCAGAGGUUAAAUCCCAGGGCUCAACCCUGGAACUGCCUUUGAUACUGGGCACCUUGAGUAUGGGAGAGGUGAGUGGAACUCCGAGUGUAGAGGUGAAAUUCGUAGAUAUUCGGAAGAACACCAGUGGCGAAGGCGACUCACUGGCCCAUUACUGACGCUGAGGCGCGAAAGCUAGGGGAGCAAACAGG